rnacentral:rRNA from 1 species
UAAAAAUUAGUAUAAAUAAAUAACAAAUGGAUGACUUAGGAUGUUAUAACGAGGGCGUUGUUAAUACGAAAAGUAGGUGAAGAAAAAAUGAAGCCGAAGUCCCAUAAGAAAAGACAAUUAUAAAAUUAAAUCUCAGGAACUGAAGCAUCUCAGUACUGGAGAGGAAAGAAAUCAAGCGAGAUUCCGUUAGUAGUGGCGAGCGAAGGCGGAGGAGAUCAAUCCAGACAGUAACCCUCAAGGGGGUAUACGUUCUUCAUAAUAAUAAAAAUCCACAGAGGUUAACAGCACCGUUGAUAGUAUAAUUAACAAGGAUUAUGGUGCACAGUUAUGAGUAAGAUUGAUUAUUCACACUCGAAAACUGGCAUUUAAAGAGUAGAAUUAUUUGAAGACAGGUGAUCCACACAUCUAAAACUAAAUCUUAUAACAUACCCAUAGUGUACGAGUACUGUGAAGGAAAGUUGAAAGAGAAGAAGCAAACCCACAUAAUUGGGGUUAUAUAAAUGAAAGAGAUUCUGAAAUUUGUUAUAUACAAGCAGACGAAAUUCGUCGUACCUUUUGCAUAAUGGGUUCGUGAGUGAAAUAUUUGGCAAACUUAAGUUCAUAAACGUAGGUGUAGUGAAAACGAGUUUUAAAAAGGGAACAAUGGUUAGAGCUUUAGUCAAAUAGAACCCGAAACCUGGUGAGCUAACCAUGGGCAGUUUGAAGCAUCCCUAAUAGGAAGUGGAGGAACGAACUGGUGAUUGUGGCAAAAAUCUCAGAUGAUCUGUGGUUAGAGGUAAAAUGCCAAUCGAACUAGGAAAUAGCUGGUUUUCUGCGAAAGCUAUUAAAGUAGCGCGUCAUUGAUAAAUUUAAAAUGAACUCCCAGAAUGGUUUUGAUUUACCAAGACCCCUUGGAGUCCAUAGGACAUGAAUUAGUUAGCUUACUAAUUGUUAUGUUUUUAUUCCUACACAGUAAAGCACUGAAUGAAGACAUCUAUAGGGUGUAUUCGACCAAACUAUGAAAGUGUAAGAAGAAAGAUGAUAGACAGACAGUGGGCGAGAAGGUCCAUUGUCAAAAAGGAAACAACCUAGAUCAGAAGUUAAGACCAUAAAAGAUUAACUAAGUGUAAAAGGGGCGGAUAGAAAUAGACAACAAGAAAGUGGGCUUGGAGCCAGCCAUCUUUGAAAGAUUACGUAACAGUUCACUUGAUAAAUUUAUCGGCCUUUAAAAUUUUGGUGGCUUAAGUUUUAAGUCGAAACUCUGGAGAAUCUUAGUAAAUUAAUGGAAGACAAGCUAGAAUUAAAAAAGAAACUAGAUCUUGAGUUUACUAAGGUAAUAUAAUGGUAGCAGAACGUUCUGUAAUACGAAAAACAAAAUAAGGGAUUACGAAAGUUAAUCAGAAGUGAUAAUGCGAGCAUGAGUAAAAAACAGUGUGAGAAUCACUGUUCAUAGCCCUAGGUUUCCAAUAGUUGAGAUUAUCAAGAUUGGGUUAUACAGCCCCUAAGAGUUAAAACAACUCAACCAUAUGAGUUGGGCUUUAUAAUGGGUAAAAAUUAAUAAGUGAAAAAUUUAAUUUAAUAAGCUGUACUAAAACUAACACAAGUGGGCUUAAAGUGAUGGUAGAAUUUAUCUUAAGGAACUCGGCAAAAUAACCCCGUAAGAUUGCGAGAAGGGGUGUCAAUAUUAGAGUAAGUGGCUUUAAAAUUGGCUUCAAAAAAGAGAGGGUGUCGACUGUUUACCAAAAACAUAGCUUCCACCAAAACCCUGUAAGGGUGAAGCAUUGGAGGUGAGGCCUGCCCAGUGGUUGUAUCCAAACCCCGGUUAUUAUGACUAAGUAGCAGGGUCAAGGACAAUUUAACGGCCGCGGUAAACCUGACCGUGAUAAUGUAGCGCAAUCAAUAGCCAAUUAAUUGUUGGCAAGUAUGAAUGGCGUAACGAAUGCCCUACUGUCUCAAGAUAAAAACCAAUGAAAUUGAAGUCGUAGUGAAGAUGCUACGUACAAAUUGUAAGACGAGAAGACCCCAUUGAGCUUUACUGGACGCUUAUAUUGUUUUUUCCCAAUUAAUGUGUAGAUUAUGCGGGUACGUUAUGAAAAACCGCUCAUUAAUUAAAAAAAAACUUACUAAACCUCAGAUGUUUUUGAGAAGUAUAAGCCGGACAGUUUGGUUGGGGCGACCACCUUCUAAAGAGUAACGAAGGUGUACAUAAGGUAAAUAAUAUAAUAGUAUAGGUAAAAAAGCCUGACAGUAAGGGGUACUCCUGAGCUGACACAGAGGUAAUUAUUAAGAUCGCCCUUAUAGGGCUGUGAUAAUAGAAUUACUCGUCUGUGGGUUAUAAUGACCCGUUAGUUAAGAGUGGGUUUGCUAACGAGCAACGAAUAAAAGUUACCAUGGGGAUAACAGCGUAAUAUCGUUCGAGAGUUCAUAUCGACGAUGAUGUUUGCGACCUCGAUGUUGAAUUGCGGUAUCCUAGAGGUGCAGCCGCUUCUAAGGGUUAGACUGUUCGUCUAUUAAAACCGUACAUGAUUUGAGUUCAGACCGGCGUGAGCCAGGUCGGUUUCUAUCUACAAUUUGUUUAGGAAACAUUAGAUAUAACUACAUUCUAGUACGAAAGGAUUGAGUGAUAGGUAUCCGCUGGUGUACCAAUUAUCUAAUAAGGUUGUUGGGUAGCUACGAUAAAUUAAGCUUAAGGUAAGGCCUUAAACGGGAAUUAUAAUCCCUGAAUGCAUCUCAAGGGAGAAGUAAAAUAUGAUUCUGUGUUUCCAUAAAGACUGUUUGAGAAUAAGACAUUGAUAGGAUCUAUGUGUCUCAUGAAGCUUAAGAUUACUAAGUUGUUCAAAAAACUAAUUUUUCGA